rnacentral:rRNA from 1 species
GACGAACGCUGGCGGCGUGCUUAACACAUGCAAGUCGAACGGAAAGGCCCUGCUUUUGUGGGGUGCUCGAGUGGCGAACGGGUGAGUAACACGUGAGUAACCUGCCCUUGACUUUGGGAUAACUUCAGGAAACUGGGGCUAAUACCGGAUAGGAGCUCCUGCUGCAUGGUGGGGGUUGGAAAGUUUCGGCGGUUGGGGAUGGACUCGCGGCUUAUCAGCUUGUUGGUGGGGUAGUGGCUUACCAAGGCUUUGACGGGUAGCCGGCCUGAGAGGGUGACCGGCCUCAUUGGUACUGAGAUACGGCCCAGUCUCCUACGUGAGGCAGCAGUGGGGAAUAUUGCACAAUGGGCGGAAGCCUGAUGCAGCAACGCCGCGUGCGGGAUGACGGCCUUCGGGUUGUAAACCGCUUUCGCCUGUGACGAAGCGUGAGUGACGGUAAUGGGUAAAGAAGCACCGGCUAACUACGUG